GGAGAGGUGGCAGAGUGGUUGAAUGCGGCGGUCUUGAAAACCGUUGUCCGUGUAACGCGGACCGGGGGUUCGAAUCCCUCCCUCUCCG
rnacentral:tRNA from 1 species